AACUUCUGAAUGUUGACCUCGAAUCAGGUAGGAAUACCCGCUGAACUUAAGCAUAUCAAUAAGCGGAGGAAAAGAAACCAACAGGGAUUGCCCCAGUAACGGCGAGUGAAGCGGCAACAGCUCAAAUUUGAAAUCUGGCUCUCGGGCCCGAGUUGUAAUUUGUAGAGGAUGCUUUUGGUGAGGUGCCUUCCGAGUUCCCUGGAACGGGACGCCAUAGAGGGUGAGAGCCCCGUCUGGUUGGACACCGAUCCUCUGUAAAGCUCCUUCGACGAGUCGAGUAGUUUGGGAAUGCUGCUCUAAAUGGGAGGUAUAUGUCUUCUAAAGCUAAAUACCGGCCAGAGACCGAUAGCGCACAAGUAGAGUGAUCGAAAGAUGAAAAGAACUUUGAAAAGAGAGUUAAACAGUACGUGAAAUUGUUGAAAGGGAAGCGCUUGUGACCAGACUUGGGCUUGGUUGAUCAUCCGGGGUUCUCCCCGGUGCACUCUUCCGGCUCAGGCCAGCAUCAGUUCGCCCUGGGGGAUAAAGGCUUCGGGAAUGUGGCUCUCUCCGGGGAGUGUUAUAGCCCGCUGCGUAAUACCCUGUGGCGGACUGA
rnacentral:rRNA from 1 species